rnacentral:rRNA from 1 species
AACACAUGCAAGUCGAGCGGAGAUAUUACUAAUAGUAUCUUAGCGGCGGACGGGUGAGUAACGCGUGGGCAACCUACCUUUCACAGGGGGAUAACACAGGGCAAACUUGUGCUAAUACCGCAUAAGAUCACGAGAUGACAUCUUCCAGUGAUCAAAGGAGCAAUCCGGUGAAAGAUGGGCCCGCGUCCGAUUAGCUAGUUGGCGGAGUAACGGCCCACCAAGGCAACGAUCGGUAGCCGAACUGAGAGGUUGAUCGGCCACAUUGGGACUGAGACACGGCCCACACUCCUACGGGAGGCACCAGUGGGGAAUAUUGCGCAAUGGGGGGAACCCUGACGCAGCAUCGCCGCGUGAAGGAUGAAGGUUUUCGGAUUGUAAACUUCUUU